rnacentral:misc_RNA from 1 species
GAUGAAGAACGCAGUGAAAUGCGAUAAGUAAUGUGAAUUGCAGAAUUCAGUGAAUCAUCGAAUCUUUGAACGCACAUUGCGCCCCCUGGCAUUCCGGGGGGCAUGCCUGUUCGAGCGUCAUUACAACCCUCAAGCUCUGCUUGGUAUUGGGCUCUGCCGGUCCCGGCAGGCCUUAAAAUCAGUGGCGGCGCCACUCGGCUUCAAGCGUAGUAAUUCUUCUCGCUUCGGAGACCCGGGUGCGUGCUAGCCAGCAACCCCCAACUUUCUCAGGUUGACCUCGGAUCAGGUAGGGAUACCCGCUGAACUUAAGCAUAUCAAUAAGCGGAGGA